rnacentral:misc_RNA from 1 species
AAAAAGGAAAAAGCAACUUUUGUCUAUUAGCUGCUGCUCUUUAGUGAUUUAACAGGAAUUUUCAGCAUAUAACAAAUUUUGAUUACAUGCAUAAGAUGUGUUUGCCUGCCACAUCUAUUGAUUUGACAAAGCUUGUGUCCAUAGCAAAAGUUUAAAUCAUUGUAUGGAUUCGUGUAACAAAGCAAACUUAUACCAAAAGGUAUUAAAUGAUAACGUAUGAGCUUGCUCGGGUCUUCUGGAUUGGAUUCAUCAUCAGUGGAGUAUUCACCCACUUCAGCUAUAAAGAUAUUCUGGAAGCAUGGAAGCUUUAGAUCUUUUCCUAUCGUCAAUAAUCAGAUGCUUCAUAGCGGGGCAAGUGACUCGAAACACUCGUCUGUUAGCAACUUGCCAUUACAUCAGUUUAGCUUCAAGAACAAUCGACGAGAAUGGAGCUACAUUAUAGGAAUUCCCAAUGCCUGGGAGACCUUCAGGAACAAAGUCGUCUGGAGAUGAAAGAUUGGUGUCCACCUACAAUCACAGUGUCUUUUAACCCAUGAUUCAAACUGAAGGUAAUAGUAAUAGAUAACAGAAGAACAUAAAUGGAAAACCCAAAAGUGAUGCUGAUAAGUUGCAUCAUAGUGAAUAAGCACGGAACAAAAUAUAUUAUGAAUACUGUAAUGUGAUACUACAUGGUGUCUAAGCAUGCUACGUGCAUUUCAAGUGAACAGGAGAACAAUGCUGUAGAAAUGAGGAAGAAAAUGACCAGUGAAAGCAAAAUUGUAUUCAACAAAAAUUAUAGGCAGGCAGAAGAGUAAGUUGCAGCAUCAUUGAAAGUGGAGGCAUAAUUGAAAGCUUUAUCUCCACAUUGAUAAUAGCAUCAAAAGAUUUCAAACAUCAACAUGCAGCCUAAACAGUCAGCUGGAUCUAGUGACUAUAAACCAAUAGAAUCAGUUUGAAAGAUGAACAGAUAGCUCCAACAAAUGGAUACCAUGCACUGGUAUGGGUACCAAGCACGAAAUUUACAAAAGGUACAGAGAUGCAGCAGCAUGAAUUUUAGCAUAUAUGCAAGAAAGAAAGAAAAUCUAACCACACGAAACCAAUGCCUCUUUGAUGGUGUAGGGGGUAUCAAAACUUUAACAUAGUAGUCAUGAGCGUUAAACGCCAAAUAGAUAUCUGCUCCAUUGCUGUUAUGAAGCCUGCAUAAUAAAUAUCAAUAUAUCAAUACCAGUGCUCAUACAUUGAAAUCAUUGAUUUAAAUCGUAGUCGCGGGUAAUGGAAAUAGGCCUGUAACAACAGUAACAUAAUGGUAACAAUUAUUGCUACACAAAUAAUUUGAAAAAAAAAUUUGAAAAGUUGAUGAAAUGAAUAGAUAUUUCAAGAUAUAAUUAAAAACUGAGACAUACAACUAAAUAAUAAACAUAAAUAUAUCAGAUAAAGAUAUUAAAUUUAUCAUUCUUAAGACAUCUUUUUAGUAUUAAACAAUCUAGCAUAUACCAUAAUUUUCUUCAACAACUGAGCAAAAACACCAAUAACAAAGACAUAUAACUCACCAUUUACAAAAUAUAGAUGUAGAAGUGUGAUUCAUUGCUUUCUUUCACUCCAAAUAAACCUUUACUAAUCGAUGAUCUUAGCUCAAGAAAUGAAAAUUUGUAAAAGACAGAAUUUAAGAUGGAAAUUUGAGAGAAACAGAAGGGGAAGUAAAAAAAACCAGAGAAAACAAGCUCUCUGCCACUUUGCUUCAAAAUAAAAAGGACUCUAUGCCCACGGACAUAACAGCUGUUACCAAUACCCCUUUUUUCUGGCCGUUACUUAACUUGGGUAUCGGUAAUGCCCCCUCAAUAACCUAUAUUUAACAGCCAUAACGUUACUUAACUUGACAACCGCCUUUAAAAUCAUGAUUGCAAUGGAUUCAAAUCAUCAUUUGGUAACAUUGAGUGCGCUUUUUGAGCUCAGGAAAAUAAAAUCAAUAAGUGAUGUUGUGUUCAAGCUGCCAAGUUGAAUAUACUGAGAACAUAUUCUUGUAGUUAUCACCACUAUGCGCAUCAUGAUACAGCUCUUGACAUACCAAAAGAGUUAACAGGACAAGAAAGCUCGUUCAUUUCAGUUAACUUGGCCAAUAUUCUGUUGUAACUUUGUCAAACUUGCUAGUACACAGUAGUGGCUGUCAACGAAAGUACAGUUCGCAAGAUUGCUGGAACUUGUUGGCAGGAAAUGGAAAAUAGGGGCCACAGAGAGAUUUCAUUCUGUAUAGGAGUAUAAAUGGAACAAAAACAUAUACAUGCAUAGUUAAAACUAAUAAACAGAUCCUAUAAUCCACAUCAUUUUAAAGCAAAAGAAGCUAGCUAUCAGUGUAAAAUUUUCUUGAUUCAAUAACCAAGGACAAAACAACAUGGCAAGGUUCCCAGUAACAAAACUAUGCUGGUGAAUAUGUAUACAUAUUGAACCACCACAACUCAGUGCCAAACAUGCACAAAAUCUUACGUAAAUGCAAGGAAUUUGCUUUCAUAAUUGUCCCAGUUGUCUUCAUGCCAUGUCACAUCAUUUUUGCUGAGAAAAUUUUCAUGACGAAAUACUUGAUGCAUUUUUCGAAACUUUAUCACCUCAGAGAAAAACCUGAACUGACUAUUCCUUUGUUUAUCCAACAAUCCCCACUGGAAAUUGUUAAUAGAAGUGUCAUGCCCAUAACUAUUGUUAUUUCCGUAGCGAGUAUGCCCAUAUUCAUCCCCCAUUAGCAUCAUUGGUGUUCCCUGAGAUAACAUUAAUGCCAAAUGGAAAUUUUUCAUUUGGCGAGAGCGUAAAGCUUUAAUUGAAGGAUCAUCAGUUUCUCCUUCAAAGCCACAAUUCCAACUAAAAUUGUCAUUGCUUCCAUCAUUCCCACCUUCUCCAUUGGCAUCAUUAUGCUUAAAAUUGUAUGAAACAAGAUCAUGCAGUGUGAAUCCAUCGUGUGCUAUUACAAAAUUAAUGCUAUGAAAAGGCUUGCGCUUAUUCACUCUGUACAGGUCAGCAGAUCCAGCAACAUGAGUUGCAAAACUCCCUUUCAUACCAGAAUCACCCUUAAUAAAUCUUCUCAAGUCAUCACGGUACUUCCCAUUCCACUCAGCCCACCUGUCCCAGUUAGGAAAUUUUCCAACCAGAUAAAGGCCUCCACAAUCCCAAGGUUCUGCAAUAAUUUUACACCUUGAUAGGAUAGGGUCUUUGGCAAUUGCCCUAAUAACUGGGGGAGCACUAAGUGGAGUGCCAUCAAUUCCACGACAAAGUACGCUGGCCAGGUCAAAUCGAAAUCCAUCCACAUGGUAUUCAGUGACCCAGUGUCUUAGGCUCUCUAGGAUGAGCUCCAUGACCACAGGAUGAUUACAGUUUAAAGUGUUCCCACAUCCAGAAAAGUUAAGCAACUGGCCUUUAUUUGGGUCCAACAUGUAAUAAACCUUAUUAUCUAUGCCACGGAAUGAAGUGGUAUAAGGAUUUUGGUCGUCUACCUCAUUUGUGUGAUUAUAGACGACAUCCAAAAUAACCUCAAUGCCAGCACCAUGCAAGGCUUUGACCAUUUCCUUAAAUUCUCGAGAUGCAUUACAAGGUCCUCCACCACCACUAGCAUAUCGACUCAUAGGAGCAAAGAAAUUUAUUGUUGAAUAGCCCCAUGUAUUGAUCAUGUGAUCUCUGGGGUUUGGGCGUCUCUGAAACUCAAAUUCAUCAAAUUCAAACACAGGCAGCAACUCCACUGCAUUGACACCCAGCUCUAGAAGAUGCGGAAUCUUUUCAAUUACACCAAGGUAACUCCCACGUAUUUUUGGAUCUAAGCCACUAGAUUCAUCAGCUGUAAAUGCACGAACAUUCAUUUCAUAUAUCACAAGAUCUUUCUCUGGUAUAUUUGGAAGCUUGUAGUUAUCUCCCCAGUCAAAAGGCAAGCUAUCAAAAUCAUAAGUACCAAGAAAUUUAGACAACUUAAGGCUAGCAUCUCCAAAAUAUCGGCGACCUUCAACUAGCUUAGCAUAAGGAUCUAAAAGUAUGAUGCUCCUGUCAAAUCGAUGCCCCUGGUGCCAAUUUUGAGGACCAUCUAUCCGAUAACCAUAAAGCACAUUGCUACAAGGCAAAUCCUCAAUACAGAUAUGCCAAAUGUCUCCUGUUUUAUUCACAUGAGGAUCCAAUGCCAGCUCAAUCAAGCUACCACCCAGCCUUUCAUGUGCUUCCCUUUGAGGGAGAGAUAGGCAAAGCGUGACAGAAGUGGCAUGCUGUGAAAAAAUAGCAAAAUUGAUCCCGUUAUCAACUUUAGAUACGCCCAAUGGAAAUGCCUGACCUGGGAAAAUUUUAAAAGUCGGGUCGGUUUCCGACAUUUGAGACGCUUCCUUCUCCUCAAGCACCCGUUCUUGGGCACCACGACCAUAAACACUGGGCUUUCUAUCCUUAUCACGAACCUUUGUCUGACUAAAACUUCGACGGCCACUGCUACUGGAGGCUUGUUUACCCAACUUCAAUCUAAAAAGGCACCCAUGUCCAGAACACGAGAAGGUCCAGCAGAAGAAAGGGCAAUGCUGCUGGUGCUGUUAUUAGCGAAAGGUAAAGCAAAGAAAGGCAUUUUAGCAGCGGAAGUGGAAUCACAGGGAAGUGACGGCCAAAGCAUAUUUCCUUGUUCUAUUGGAAAGCGAAAAAUUAGGAAGAGAAAGCAACGAAAAGGUAUUCGAGAUUCGAAAAUAUGGUCCCGUUUCCGAUCAGUAGAAGUGAAAAGGGGAGUUUGCCAAAAGUGAGAUUUGAGAUUGACAGAGGCUAAAGUUUACGUCCUUUUGCUCGUCUCUUGAAGGUGGAGCGCUUUCUAGUUU